rnacentral:rRNA from 1 species
UGGGGAAUAUUGCGCAAUGGGCGAAAGCCUGACGCAGCGACGCCGCGUGAGGGAUGAAGGUUUUCGGAUCGUAAACCUCUGUCAGAAGGGAAGAAACCGCACUGUGCUAAUCAGCAGUGCCUUGACGGUACCUUCAAAGGAAGCACCGGCUAACUCCGUGCCAGCAGCCGCGGUAAUACGGAGGGUGCAAGCGUUAAUCGGAAUUACUGGGCGUAAAGCGCACGUAGGCUGCUUUGUAAGUCAGGGGUGAAAUCCCACGGCUCAACCGUGGAACUGCCUUUGAUACUGCUUAGCUUGAAUCCGGGAGAGGGUGGCGGAAUUCCAGGUGUAGGAGUGAAAUCCGUAGGUAUCUGGAGGAACAUCAGUGGCGAAGGCGGCCACCUGGACCGGUAUUGACGCUGAGGUGCGAAAGCGUGGGGAGCAAACAGG